rnacentral:lncRNA from 1 species
AAGUGGAUGCACUCAUUUAUCUCUUCCACUCUGUGCAGAGCAAGCAUCUCAUCAAGGGACUCUUGAAGCCCACAUAAGAGUCUCUCCCCAGUCCAUUCAACCCCAUGGAUCUUUCCUCCUGCCGCCCACUGGAAGGACAACACAUGACUGGCGUUUUCAUUCACCACUCAUGUGCAGGGCCAAGGGCAAAUUCACAUCGCUAAGAUGCAACAUGCCUAACGAUUUAAACAGGGAAAACAGGGAUGCAACAUGCCACACAGUGAACGAUCGGAAGUUAGAG